rnacentral:rRNA from 1 species
UACGUAGGGUGCGAGCGUUAAUCGGAAUUACUGGGCGUAAAGCGUGCGUAGGCGGUGAUGUAAGACCGAUGUGAAAUCCCCGGGCUUAACCUGGGAACUGCAUUGGUGACUGCAUUGCUGGAGUAUGGCAGAGGGGGGUGGAAUUCCACGUGUAGCAGUGAAAUGCGUAGAGAUGCGGAGGAACACCGAUGGCGAAGGCAGCCCCCUGGGCUAACACUGACGCUCAGGCACGAAAGCGUGGGGAGCAAACAGG